rnacentral:rRNA from 1 species
UACGUAGGGUGCAAGCGUUAAUCGGAAUUACUGGGCGUAAAGCGUGCGCAGGCGGUUUUGUAAGUCUGUCGUGAAAUCCCCGGGCUCAACCUGGGGAAUGGCGAUGGAGACUGCAAGGCUAGAAUCUGGCAGAGGGGGGUAGAAUUCCACGUGUGAGCAGUGAAAUGCGUAGAGAUGUGGAGGAACACCGAUGGCGAAGGCAGCCCCCUGGGUCAAGAUUGACGCUCAUGCACGAAAAGCGUGGGGAGCAAACAGG